GCGGCUGCUCCAGGAGUCUCCUCUCACAAUAUUGUGUCAUCUUUUCUCUUCUCCAUACCCAAACUCUAGGGUUGUUCCCCGGCCCGUCUCCCGCCGUCUCUGAUUUAUUUAGUUCUCGCCAUCGACAGGUUCGCCUUUGAAGUGUGCCG
ensembl:ncRNA C08C3.6 ncRNA